rnacentral:misc_RNA from 1 species
GAUGAAGAACGUAUCGAAAUGCGAUAAGUAAUGUGAAUUGCAGAAUUCAGUGAAUCAUCGAAUCUUUGAACGCACAUUGCGCCCGCCAGUAUUCUGGCGGGCAUGCCUGUUCGAGCGUCAUUUCAACCAUCAAGCCCCAGGCUUGUGUUGGGGACCUGCGGCUGCCGCAGGCCCUGAAAACCAGUGGCGGGCUCGCUGUCACACCGGGCGUAGUAGAUUUUAUCUCGCUCAGGGCGUGCUGCGGGUUCCGGCCGUUAAAAAGCCUUUUUUACCCAAGGUUGACCUCGGAUCAGGUAGGAAGACCCGCUGAACUUAAGCAUAUCAAUAAGCGGAGGA